rnacentral:rRNA from 1 species
UACAGAGGUCUCAACCGUUGUUCGGAUUCAUUGGGCGUAAAGGGUGCGUAGGCGGCGGGGUAAGUCAGGUGUGAAAUCUCGGGGCUCAACCCCGAAACUGCACUUGAUACUGCCUCGCUUGAGUACUGGAGAGGAGACUGGAAUUUACGGUGUAGCAGUGAAAUGCGUUGAUAUCCACAGGAACUCCGGUGGCGAAGGCGGCACGCUGGACCCCCACUGACGCUGAGGCGCGAAAGCCAGGGGAGCGAACGGG